UACGAAGGGGGCUAGCGUUGCUCGGAAUCACUGGGCGUAAAGGGUGCGUAGGCGGGUUUUUAAGUCAGGGGUGAAAUCCUGGAGCUCAACUCCAGAACUGCCUUUGAUACUGAAGAUCUUGAGUUCGGGAGAGGUGAGUGGAACUGCGAGUGUAGAGGUGAAAUUCGUAGAUAUUCGCAAGAACACCAGUGGCGAAGGCGGCCAACUGGUCCGAUACUGACGCUGAGGCGCGAAAGCGUGGGGAGCAAACAGG
rnacentral:rRNA from 1 species